UCGAUGACGAUUUAUGCACUAAGAUGUCUCUCUCGAAUUUUUAAAGAAAAAGGAUGGAUAUAUGCAGUUACCACAUUAGCAUAAUUAUCGGAUGUUGGGAAAUGUUAGAAAUUCUUGCGUGGUAGGAAUACACAGAUGAUUAUUUAUACCUAUGUAUAUUCAAUUUUUCCACAGUAAAAACGAUGUAUUGUCAGCAAGGAACCCCAAGUAAACCUUAUUUAAAGUCUAAUGGAUGGGGAGCCUCACACUGGAAUAGGGGGUGUCUGUCCUGAGAACUCUCCUCAAUAAACCUGUGUGUGCUAAUUCUCCAUCUUGGAUUCUGUUCCCAGGGACCCCAGUCUAAGACAGUGCCAGCUUCUGAAUCAACAAAGGUGACAAGAG